GCAUUCAUUACAAAUCGUGUCCACAGCCCGCUUCCCAACUUCCAACUUCCACCUCCAGGGGAGGACUGGGGGCUGGAGAUUGCAUUAAUUUCCAAUGGCCAGUGGUUUAAUCAAUCAUGACUAAGUAAUGAGCCUCCGUAAAAACCAGAGCUUCCGGUUUGGUGAACACACGGAGGUCCUGGAAAUGGUGGCGCGCCCAGAGGGCAUGGAAGCUCCGCGCCCCUUCCCACAGACCUUGUCCCGUGCAUCGCUUCCAUCCAGCUCUUCUUGAGUUCUGGCCCUUGUAGUAAACCUGCAGUCUUGAUCAAUUUUCUCUCAGGAGGUUCCUCAUUGACUCAUGCAAACAGAUUUCUGGCGAGAACUGCUCCAAGGCCUUCCAGAUGUGCACAGGCAUGGAUGAAUCAGAGCAGAAGUGGACAGAUGUAGCUCAAAUGGAGGGUUCUGCUAUAAUCUCAAUCCGUACCCAGGCUGGAGUGCAGUGGCGCGAUCUCGGCUCACUGAAACCUCUGCCUCCCAGGUUCAAGCGAUUCUCCUGCCUCAGCCUCUCGAAUAGCUGGGAUUACAGGCAACUACCAUUUUUCACCCUCUGUCUUUUGAUGUUCGCCUGACAAGCUCCUGGUGGUAGCCGGUAGCUCUGACAGAGAGCAAAAGAAAUAAGGGGCGGUUUUAGCUGAUAACCUCACCAGUCUUCACUUCGGCUCUUCCUUCACUGCCCCUUCAGCUGCGGGGAACUUGCUCUAGGGCAUCUUGGCAGGAGGGAGGGCGUCUGAGGGUACUGGUGCCUGCAGACUUCAAGCACGGGGAGCCUUCUUGAAGCGGGGCUGCCUGGCCACUUGGAAAAAGGUGGAUUAAUUUGGGGAUAUCCGAGGAGCCCCAGAGGGCCAUUGUAAUUCAAGAUCUUCAGUAAACUUUUGCCGCGGAGAAAGAACCCGGCCAGUAUUGGGACCAUCGUGGUGACGCAGGAUUGGAGGAACAGGGGUUUCGGUUGACUGAGAAGUUCCUGUGAGAGAAACAGGCUCAAAUAGAGAGAACAGAAAGAUGUCGUGAGGAGCCAGGAAACAAAAUUUUCCAGGGGUCAGGGAAUGAAUUCUAAUCAGAACAAGGAGCCAGCAAGAACUUCCAGCCUAGGAGGUACUUUUCAAAAGAAGCCUGGGACUCUAACCCAGCUUCUGAGAGUAUACUCAGAAUUGUUAAGAAUCAGGCAGGGCGCGGCGGCUCAUGCCUGUAAUCCCAGCACUUUGGGAGGCUGAGGCGGGUGGAUCACUUGAGGUCCGGAGUGUGAGAUCAGCCUGACUAACAGGAUGAAACCCCAUCUCUACUUAAAAAAUACAAAAUUAGCUGGGCGUCGUAGCGCAUGCCUGUAAUCCCAGCUACUUGGGAGGCUGAGGCAGGAGAAUUGCUUGAACCCAGGAGGUGGAGGUUGCAGUGAGCCAAGAUCGCGCCCUUGCACUCCAGCCUGGGCAACAAGAGUGAAACUCUGCCUCGGAGGAAAAAAAAAAAAAAAGAAUUGAAAAAAUGAAAACCUGUCCUCAAUGUGCCUGAAUAAAUGCUUGUUCAGACACUGGAUGUGAAGUCCGAUUCCCCACUGGAUACCCAAACUGCAGGAGGUAAGUGGUUCCCAUCUGGACCCGAGUUGCCUACCAGACCAUUGUCAGAAACACAGUUGGACGUGAGUUAAAGUGGUGAAAAAACAGAUUUUAUUCAGUAACUACUGAAAGUAGGGAAGGAACUGAGCUCUAUUCCGAUUUCGGCAGAGGUGAUUUGGGUGUUUUAAAGAAAGAAUGAGGGAGACGGGAAUAAAGGAGCUCCGAAGUGUCGGGGAAGUGAAAAAGUGCAAAGGGGAGCUUCCGGAUAGCGAAGCACAUGGAGGUUCCUGGAGGGUGUCCUCCCAGAGAGGACGUGGAACCUUCCCGCUCCCACCGCGCACUUGCCCUGUGUAUCUCUUCCCUUUGGCUGUUCAUCUGCAUACGUGGUAAUUUCCUUUAUAGUAAACUAAUAAACGGAAAUUUGCAGCAGCUGUGAAAAACUUCAAUUUUCUGAAUCCACUUUUGAUUUUUAGUGGCGAUUGCUUAAAUGCCUCAGUUUUAAGUACCAUAACGAAAGGAAAGCAUACGAUUCCUAUAUUAAUGAAUCGGAAGUACCUUUUGCAGUUUUUGCUUUGCUUUUUCAGACAGGGUCUUAUUCUGUCAUCCAGGCUGGAGUGCAUUGGUGGGAACACAGCUCACUACCUACUCAGCCUCCUGAGCUCAAGCGAUCCUCCCACCUCAGCCUCUCAAGUGGCUAGGACCACAGGCACCCACGCACUACACCGCCUAACUAAUGUUUUGUUUUAUAUUAUAUUAUUUUAUUUUAUAGAGACAGAGGUCUCACCAUGUCGACCAGGCUAGUUUUGAACUCCUGGCCUCAAGCAAUCCUCCUCCCACCUCAGCCUCCCAAAGUGCUAAAAUGAUAGGUGUGAGCCACUGCACCCGGUGAUUUUGCAGUUUUUGGAAACCACAAGUUUGAUUUCGGUGUGAAUAUUUUGGAAGAAUCUAUGAAACAAAUGCACUUCAUCUGAUUUCUCAGUAAUGUUGAUGAUAGAUUUACUUCUGAACCUCUUGGACGUGUGUAUGUUAGAAGUUCUCCACCCAAUUGAUACAGAAUUAUAUAGCUGUGAAAUUACUGUAAGAAGAACCGAAGCAACGUUGGAAAUUUGGUAACUAAUGCCACGUUGGAAGCUAUUCAUGCCAAUGUAGCAUUGCUUCAUACAGGUACUUCCAGAUCUAAUUGAAUACAUCCAGUGGGAAAUUUCGCUUUGCGUGAUUUUUUGGCUAUCUUACUCAUAGUGGACCCCAGUUUUAGUUGUCAGAGUAACACAGGCACAGCUGCUUGAAGGUCUUGAAAAUGAGGUUAACAAAUAUUCAGCUUUUGGUGGGAGUUUUUCUCAAGUUGUUGGAAUAGAAUUUGGACUCAAUUCAGAUGCAGAACUGGGACACUGAAUGAUAAGAGAUACUGUGAAAGUUCAAGGACCAUACGAAAAAAAUUUACCUUCUUGCUGCUAUAAACAAUAUAUUGCACAUGGGAAAGAUAGUUACGUUAUGCCUGAUAGUUGUUCUUGAAUGUUUGACACAGAAACUGUACAAGUACCUUCCACAGUCAUCAUGAAUCACUUUUAAUCGAUAAAAAUUUUGUAGGGAAGGAAGCAGUGUCUUUCAGGCCAUUGAAUGAAUUUGAUUACUACUACGAACAAAUCAUCGUUAUUAACAGCCUUCGAGGAAGAAUCAGAUAAGCCAUCAGCAGUAAUUGCAGUACCUGGCAUAGAAGGGUGAAUUUGCCAUAUUUCUCAGCACAUGAAAGAACAUUUGUACCAACUUAGAGCCGGAGGGGAACAAGGUUUAAGAACUUUUCCCAUUAUUAGUGGUAAUGCAUCUGAAAAUUUUGAUUCUGAUUGAAAUACUAUAUGGGUAAUAUAUAAUCAAUGCCCAACUGAAUGGAGAAAACCUACACUUUUUGCAUUGUUAGGCACAGUAAUAUAAUUUUGGCUCUUUGGCAUUGUUCUAGAAUUAAUUUUAAUUCUAGGGAUAUUGCUCUAAAUGUGCUUCUUAUCACUUUUGACUCUUCAGUGUGUUAUCCAGGAAACAAUAUAUAUACACUUGUGAACUGUUGUUUGUGAUUUAAGCAUAUAUAUUGAAUAAUGUUUCCAGAUUAAAUGACUUCCAAGCUCCAAAGAAAAGAGUACAAAGCAUUGGUCAAUAUAAAUGUGAUUAGGUCAGCUGUGUCUGCUAGCAGGCAGUUAUCUGAAUUAGGGAUCUAUCCUCCCACAGAGAGUUGGAGACGGAGGCCUUAUCCUUCUUGAUGAUUAUAUUUUGAAGGAAUGGCUCUCAGAUCCUUGAGAGAGAUGCUCCUGAGUUACAAUUGUGAGGACUUUUUGGUAAGUGCCCUAAGAAAGGGUGGUCAAGGAGCUAUCAUCAGAUGUGUGCUGGCUAGAGCACAUAGUAGAUUUUCCUGGCAGCACUUAGCUUUCUCAGGCAGGCACUAUUUAGGGGCCUGGGAUCAUUCUAGGGACACAGCCUUAUGCUGCCAGAAGCCAAACUUGUUUGAUCAGGUCUCAGUGCAGGGAUUCGGAUGGGGUUUUCAUGUGCCAAGGGUUCUGCACUCUUCCUUCUCUGCUGCUUGGCACUGUGCAUGGUGAUCCGUACGGUAAUCUACACAGCGUGGUGCUCCUCACCGCAAUCUAUGGGACAGCUCAGGGAGAACUCAGCUUUUCCAGCCCCCCAGUUUUAGGUUGAAAAAUCAUGGUAAUACCCAUUAAAAAACAACACAAGCAGUAGCCAGCAAGCAGCGAGGUGCCAACAUUGGGGUGCCCUCUCAGGCAGUGGCUGCCGUCUGCUGGGGCCAGUUACUAAGCACUCUACAGACUCAUUGUCUCCAUGUGGUGUACACCACCUAGCUUGCUCGCUGUACUAACUGUUCUAAAAAUAUACCCUGGCCUUGUUUUUGAGCAGGUAUAGUAAGGCACACACACCAGACACGCAAAUGAUCACCAGAAAGGAAUACUGUUUUUUCUUUUUCUUUUCUUUUCUUUCUUUCUUUUUUUUUUUUUUUUUUUUUGAGAUGGAGUCUCGCUCUGUUGCCCAAGCUGGAGUGCAGUGGUGCAAUCUAAGCUCCUAGCAACUUCUGCCUCCCGGAUUCAA